rnacentral:rRNA from 1 species
AGACCCGAAACCCGGUGAUCUAGCCAUGGGCAGGUUGAAGGUUGGGUAACACUAACUGGAGGACCGAACCGACUAAUGUUGAAAAAUUAGCGGAUGACCUGUGGCUGGGGGUGAAAGGCCAAUCAAACCGGGAGAUAGCUGGUUCUCCCCGAAAGCUAUUUAGGUAGCGCCUCGUGAAUUCAUCUCCGGGGGUAGAGCACUGUUUCGGCUAGGGGGCCAUCCCGGCUUACCAACCCGAUGCAAACUGCGAAUACCGGAGAAUGUUAUCACGGGAGACACACGGCGGGUGCUAACGUCCGUCGUGAAGAGGGAAACAACCCAGACCGCCAGCUAAGGUCCCAAAGUCAUGGUUAAGUGGGAAACGAUGUGGGAAGGCCCAGACAGCCAGGAUGUUGGCUUAGAAGCAGCCAUCAUUUAAAGAAAGCGUAAUAGCUCACUGGUCGAGUCGGCCUGCGCGGAAGAUGUAACGGGGCUAAACCAUGCACCGAAGCUGCGGCAGCGACGCUGAUGCGUUGUUGGGUAGGGGAGCGUUCUGUAAGCCUGCGAAGGUGGCCUGUGAGGGUUGCUGGAGGUAU